rnacentral:rRNA from 1 species
UGGGGAAUAUUGCACAAUGGGCGCAAGCCUGAUGCAGCGACGCCGCGUGGGGGAUGACGGCCUUCGGGUUGUAAACCUCUUUCACCAUUGACGAAGGCUCGGGUGUUCUCGGGUUGACGGUAGGUGGAGAAGAAGCACCGGCCAACUACGUGCCAGCAGCCGCGGUAAUACGUAGGGUGCGAGCGUUGUCCGGAAUUACUGGGCGUAAAGAGCUCGUAGGUGGUUUGUCGCGUUGUUCGUGAAAACUCAUGGCUUAACUGUGGGCGUGCGGGCGAUACGGGCAGACUGGAGUACUGCAGGGGAGAUUGGAAUUCCUGGUGUAGCGGUGGAAUGCGCAGAUAUCAGGAGGAACACCGGUGGCGAAGGCGGGUCUCUGGGCAGUAACUGACGCUGAGGAGCGAAAGCGUGGGGAGCGAACAGGAUUAGAUACCCCCGUAGUCC